rnacentral:rRNA from 1 species
AGUGAACGCUGGCGGCAGGCCUAACACAUGCAAGUCGAGCGGCAGCGGGUCCUUCGGGAUGCCGGCGAGCGGCGGACGGGUGAGGAAUGCAUCGGAAUCUGCCCUGUCGUGGGGGAUAACCUAGGGAAACUUAGGCUAAUACCGCAUACGACCCACGGGUGAAAGCGGGGGAUCGCAAGACCUCGCGCGAUAGGAUGAGCCGAUGUCCGAUUAGCUAGUUGGCGGGGUAAAGGCCUACCAAGGCGACGAUCGGUAGCUGGUCUGAGAGGAUGAUCAGCCACACUGGAACUGAGACACGGCCCAGACUCCUACGGGAGGCAGCAGUGGGGAAUAUUGGACAAUGGGCGCAAGCCUGAUCCAGCCAUGCCGCGUGGGUGAAGAAGGCCUUCGGGUUGUAAAGCCCUUUUGUCCGGGAAGAAAACGUCUGGGCUAAUACCCCGGGCGGAUGACGGUACCGGAAGAAUAAGCACCGGCUAACUUCGUG